rnacentral:rRNA from 1 species
GAUUAAGCCAUGCAUGUCUAAGUAUAAGCAAUCUAUACGGUGAAACUGCGAAUGGCUCAUUAAAUCAGUUAUCGUUUAUUUGAUAGUACCUUACUACAUGGAUAACCGUGGUAAUUCUAGAGCUAAUACAUGCUAAAAACCCCGACUUCGGGAGGGGUGUAUUUAUUAGAUAAAAAACCAACGCCCUUCGGGGCUCCNUGGUGAUUCAUGAUAACUUAACGAAUCGCAUGGCCUUGCGCCGGCGAUGGUUCAUUCAAAUUUCUGCCCUAUCAACUUUCGAUGGUAGGAUAGUGGCCUACCAUGGUAUCAACGGGUAACGGGGAAUUAGGGUUCGAUUCCGGAGAGGGAGCCUGAGAAACGGCUACCACAUCCAAGGAAGGCAGCAGGCGCGCAAAUUACCCAAUCCCGACACGGGGAGGUAGUGACAAUAAAUACUGAUACAGGGCUCUUUUGGGUCUUGUAAUUGGAAUGAGUACAAUUUAAAUCCCUUAACGAGGAACAAUUGGAGGGCAAGUCUGGUGCCAGCAGCCGCGGUAAUUCCAGCUCCAAUAGCGUAUAUUAAAGUUGUUGCAGUUAAAAAGCUCGUAGUUGAACCUCGGGCCUGGCUGGCCGGUCCGCCUCACCGCGUGCACUGGUCCGGCCGGGCCUUUCCUCCUGGGGAUCCGCAUGCCCUUCACUGGGUGUGCCGGGGAACCAGGACUUUUACUUUGAAAAAAUUAGAGUGUUCAAAGCAGGCCUUUGCUCGAAUACAUUAGCA